GUUGUAUGGUUAAGUGACUAAGCGUACACGGUGGAUGCCUUGGCAGUCAGAGGCGAUGAAAGACGUAGUAACUUGCGAUAAGCCCAGAUUAGGUAGUAACAACCAUUUGAGUCUGGGAUUUCUGAAUGGGGAAACCCACGUGCAUAAGCACGUAUCCUUACCUGAAUACAUAGGGUAAGGAGGCGAACCGGGGGAACUGAAACAUCUAAGUACCCCGAGGAAAAGAAAUCAACCGAGAUUCCGAAAGUAGCGGCGAGCGAAAUUGGACUAGCCCUUAAGCUUUACACGCGUUAGACGAACGGUCUGGAAAGUCCGACGAUACAGGGUGAUAGUCCCGUAGUUGACGACGUGUGUUCAGUGAAAUCGAGUAGGGCGGGACACGUGAUAUCCUGUCUGAAUAUGGGGGGACCAUCCUCCAAGGCUAAAUACUACUGACUGACCGAUAGUGAACCAGUACCGUGAGGGAAAGGCGAAAAGAACCCCUGUGAGGGGAGUGAAAUAGAACCUGAAACCGUGUACGUACAAGCAGUAGGAGCAGGCUUUGUCCUGUGACUGCGUACCUUUUGUAUAAUGGGUCAGCGACUUAUAUUCAGUGGCAAGGUUAACCAUCUAGGGGAGCCGUAGGGAAACCGAGUCUUAACUGGGCGUUCAGUCUCUGGAUAU
rnacentral:rRNA from 1 species